CUAAAAUUUUGAAAUAAUAUCUUAAAAAUGAUACGAAAACUGAAAAAUGAUUGAAGAGAAAAGCACAUAAAGAGAGAAAAGAAAUGUAAUAAUAUUUUAUCGUUGAAUAAGAAUUAUAUUGGAUGAUUUUUUUUUAGUUAUAACCCAUUUAUAUUAGGUAAAAAUAAAAAAAAAUUAUUAACCAACAUUGUUAUUAAUAAAAUAAAAAUUAUUAAACAAAAAUUGAAAAAAUAUUUGUAUAUAAUGGAGAUUUGGUAGCAGUAGGGUGGGAAGUAUAAAACUAAACCCACCCCGCUAAGAAUUUGGGGUUAUUGUUUCCCCAUUCCCCAAAAUUAUUCAAAAUCCACCUCAUUUUGGGUGGACUCCCAUGGGGCCCCAAACCCAUGAAGAAUUUUGUCAUCUCUAAUCUCAGAGCACCCUUUCACGUCUAGUGCUUCUUCUCCAAUUGGAUAGCCCACUGCCUGUUGUUGUGCCGUUUUCUCUACCGUUAGCAACAACUGGUAAGUUUUAAUUGUUAACUUGUUAUACAUUUAAGUUAUAAGUGGUCCUUUUGAAAAAUAAAAGAUAAAUUAAUGAACAAUGUAUUUAAUAUAAACUCUUAAUGUGAAAUUUCAAUAUAGUUAAAAGUUAUUUUGCAAUGUGUUAUAAUUUUGAAACUUAUUUUAUUUUAUUAUUUUAUUUUUUUAGCAAACUUCAGGGAGACAAUGAUGGGCGAAUGAAAGUUUUUUUUUAAUAAGUUGAUAACGAUUAAAGUUAUUCACCAUUCUCCUUUUAUUAUUUAUUUUUAUUGUGUGUUUUUUCGAUUACUUUACUGUGUGUUUGUUUGGUUGACAGUAAUUUAGGUUUAAAGAAUAAUUAGUUGAAAAUUUUAUUCCUAAUUCAGAUUGGGUGAGAGUAUAUGAAUUCAAAAACCCCUCUUAAUACCUAUUUACUUAUAAAAUAAUAUAUAUAUUUUUCACACACAUGCAUUUGUAACUUGACUUAAUGUUGUGCUUAAAUUCCAUUUUUCAGCAACAAGUUGCUACAAUAGGAAGCUUGGAUCAUAAUGUUCUUAUUUUGGAUCUAAAACAUAAUAAGACAAUGUUUACGAACAUAGGGUAUUGCAAGUGUCAUUUUCUAUGAAAUCAUUUAAAUUUCUUAAUUAAUCAUAAAUUGAUACUUUAACAAGUUUUGAUAUUGUGGGCAGUAUGGAGUGACAUGUUUGGCUUAAAUUGGAAAGUCUGAUCAAUUUCUAGCUAUGCAAUCCAAAGAUGGGAAGUUACAACUUUGGGAGCUCUUAGAGUGUAAUGGUCUUCCAUGUCUCUAGUGCCAUUUCUGACUUAUUUGUGUCUUGUGAUGAGAAUUUCUUGGUAGUUCUAUUAAUGAUACCAUUCACAUGUUUGAGAUUGUAAAUAAGUUUCUUUGAUCAAGUCGACCUUCAAUCAAUAUUUGAAACCGAAUGCAUGUAUUACUAUUUUCACUUUUUGUUUUAUAUACUACGAUAUGUACACAAUACAUAUUUUCAGAUAUCUCUUUCUUUGUUGUUCCAUACGACUCAUUAAAUUGUGUUUCAAUAUAAACACUAUUUCAUGGCUCUUAUGUAUACCAUUCUGAAUGAUCUGAGCCACGACUCCCAUAACUUAGACAUAUCUCAAUAGUAUAUAUUACAACAUUCCGUUACAGAAAUAAUAUAAAAGAGUCCAUGAUUUACAUUGAAUAAGAUCACCAAAAAAAUGUACUUUUUAAUGAUAUAUAGGUUAUAUGUUGGGAUCUUAAAAGAUGAAUACUUGAGGUGAGGCCAAGUGAACCUGUGUGGAAAAAAAAACUAAUAAUGAUAUAUGACCUAAAAAGAUGUUAAAUUGAAACAACCAAAUGUGGAAAAAAAAAACUAAUAAUGAUAUAUGACCUAAAAAGAUGUUAAAUUGAAACAACCAAAUAUGGACAAACUUACUAAAAGGGCUUCUAUAGUUGGCUUAUAAAUAUACAACACACAAAAAUAAAAACCAAGAAUUAUUAAAAGAAUUAUAAACUAAAAAAAAUAGGUGGGUUAGUGAGGAAAACGUUUUCUUUGAAUCUUUAUGCAACAUAAGCACAACAAGAAUCAUUGCUUCUGGAGAUAUAAGCAUCCUCGCUUUUUGUAAAGUCUAGUGGCAGUCGAUUUUUUUUUUCUAAAAAUUUUUUCAACCGCCUUGUAACCCUCGUGUAUGCCUCUCUACAUGAUUGAGUCAUAACUCCUACAACCUAAACAUAACCCAAAGAUAGUCUAUGUCAUGAUGUUUCGUUACAGAAACACUAUACUAUAAAGACAAUUGAUGAAAAUCAACAAACAAUCAGUAAUUCACAAAGUAAAUUAAUGAUGUUAAACUGAAACAAUCAAACAUGAAUGAACUCACUAAAAAGGUUUUUGUAGUUGGCAUAUAAUAUGUAACACACAAAAGUAGAAAAUCAAGAUUACUAAAAGAAUUAUAAACUAAACAAACAAUUAGGUGAGUAACGGUAAACCUUUUCUUUAGAUCUUUAUGCAAUAUAAGCGCAACAAGACUCAUUACUUUUAAAGAUAUGAGCUUCCUCGCAUCUUUGAAAGUCUUUGGCGGCAAAGAAUAGUUUUUGUUAUUGUCUCUCAAAAUGUUUCUCUACUGCUCAGAGUCAUUAUUACCUUCAUAGGAAUGUUGGCCACCAGAAAUGUAGUAAAAUUUGAAAUUUAACCAAACAAGACUAUAAAUAUCUCUAUUAUUGGCCUAAGAUCAAAUUCAGUUGAUUGCGAACCUCAUGUGCUACAAUAAAGAACAAAAAGUAAGUUGCCACAUAAUGCAUUUAUAACUAAGAAACUCUAAUAGUACAAAUUGCUUACCACCUCCCACGCCACAUUUCUUUAGGCGCAAGUAGUAUAUUAUUGGAUAUGAGAUACACACUUUUCAUCAUGUAUUACAUAAAUCCCAUCGAUCAUAUCCUACACAAUCAUGCCAAUUGAUAAUUAAUUUAUUUAAAGCUAUAGUCUUGUAACAACUCUAAAAAAAAUUAUAUUAUACUUAGUUUAUUAGUCUUCUUUAUUCAACAGAGAAGUCAUAGUCUUUAAACCUCUUGAACAGUAUGGACUACUUCAGUUUGUUUGGAUAUAAAAGCCAAAUAAUUUGCAAAGCUGCAGAUGUAGCGCUCCAUGAAUACUAACAAACUCCUUUUCUCUACUAGAACCACACGUGAAAAUUCCCUUAUACGUGGCUCACACAUGAUAAUUUAUUCGAAUUUGCAUAAACUAAACUAUUCCAUUUCUUUAUUUUCAUACUAAAGUAAUGAAUAAUGUAGUCAUAGUUUAUUUUCUUCAUAAUGUGAAGAUUUUACAUGUUUCAAUUAAUUUUUUUUUUGGAAAUUUCUUCACAGCCACCUCACGACCCUCAUGUACGCCUCUCUGCAUGACUGAACCAUGACUCCGACAACCCAAACAUAUCUAUGUGAUAAUAUACAUCACGACGUUCCAUUACAGAAACAUUAUAAUAAAAAGACAAUUGAUGAAAAUCAACAAACAAUCACUAAUUCACAAAAUAAAUCAAUAUAAGCAUUAAUUGGUCUAUGCUUUAUGCUGAAUAAGAUCACCCAAAAGCAUGUAUUCUUUAAUAGUCUAUAGGUCUACAUUUUGGUGAUCUUAAAAGAUAAACACUUGAGGUUGGUUAAAGUGAACUUGUUUAAUGCACAAGAAAAAUUUAUCUCAAGGGCAAUGAGGCACUAUAUAUCUUUCAUUAGAAAUUUUGUCAGGAUUUUAGAUUACAAAAUCCAUCAAGAUUUUAAAACAUGUUGUAAUGCACAAACAAUUAUGCAAGAUGUGAAGAUAAAACAGCUUGUCUUUGGAGGAUUAAUGAAGGAAAAUUCGGUCAUACCUUUCUUGGUAUGUAGUACAUAAAAAAAAUAUUAAUUGCAUAAUGCUUUGGCUUGAAUUGUUUACUCUUCUAUUUUUUAUGAUUAUUAGAUGUAAAUUUUUCUUAUUAAUUUCAUAUUUGUGUUCUUCUAGAAUUGAAAAUAAUAACACAUUAUUUCAUUUGAACUCUUGUUAUUUCUCUUCAGUCAACUGAUUGGAGUUUCUGCUUUGGCUUUUAAUAAAGACGGAUCUCUACUUGCUCAUGGUGGGUUUAACGGGUAUGUCUUCCACUGGAACUCUGCAAUUUAUGAAUUAAAAGGGAAAAUUUGGCUUAUUGGCGGGGACAUUGAGGUGAAACUAUUUGAUUUUUUUAGUGAUCAAAUUAUUCCUUUUAUUUUUUUGAACACUAAUCAUGGCCGUCUCUCAGUGUUAAGUUGGCACUCAACAAGUCAUGUAAUAUUAGGUGGCUUAGGAGAUUGUCGGGCUCACAUGCGAUACUGCAAGAGAGAUUUUUAACAUUUUUGUAGGUCAUAGUGGAAGAAUGACCUGUGUUGAUUUUAUGCCUGAUGGUAUUCAUAAGUCUAUCAUAUUUUCUACCACUUCUUUUAGGCUUCAACUACAUUUGUUUUAUUUAUAUAUUUUGUAACUUUAUAUUGACUGUUGUUUGUUUAAAGUAACAAAAUUUGUACCAAUUACAUUGUAAAAACAUUACCUACAAAGACAACUAAUGAAAACAAAAAAAUAAUAAUUAGCAAUUCACAAAAUAAAUCAAUAACAUAUUGAAUAAUUUUUAAAACUCUAAGGUUUAUACUGAAUAAGAUCAACCAAAAACAUGUAUUCUUUAAUGAUAUAUAGGCCUACAUUUUGGUGAACUUAAAAGAUGAACACUUAUGGUGAACCUAUGUUAAAAGAAAAAAACAAUAAUGAUAUAUGAUCUGAAAAGAUAUAAAACUAAAAUAACCAAAUGUGUACAAACUCAUUAAAAGGGCUUUUGCAGUUAGCCUACAAAUAUGCAACACAAAAAAAUAGAAAAUCAACAAUUACUAAAAGAAUGAUAAACUAAAGAAGCAAUUAGGUUAGUGAGGGAAAACUUUUUCUUUGGCUCAUUAUGCAAUAUAAAUGUAACAAGGCUCAUUACUUUUAGAGAUAUAAUCUUUUACUUCUUUGAAAGUCUCAAGUGGCAGAGAAAGAUUUUUGUUGUUGUCCCUUAAAAUGUUUCUCUACCACUCAGAAUCAUUAUUGUUUUCGUAGGGAUGUUGUCCACCAGAAAUGUAGUAAAAUUAAACACAAAAAUUUACCAUAAGUCUUCAAAACAAAAAAAAAUACAAAAAUUCGUGGGAGGGGUCAAACUUUGGGAACUAGAAUAA
rnacentral:lncRNA from 1 species